AGAACGAACGCUGGCGGCAUGCCUAACACAUGCAAGUCGAACGAACUCUUCGGAGUUAGUGGCGCACGGGUGCGUAACGCGUGGGAAUCUGCCCUUGGGUACGGAAUAACUUCUCGAAAGGGAUGCUAAUACCGUAUAAUGACUUCGGUCCAAAGAUUUAUCGCCCAAGGAUGAGCCCGCGUAAGAUUAGCUUGUUGGUGAGGUAAAAGCUCACCAAGGCGACGAUCUUUAGCUGGUCUGAGAGGAUGAUCAGCCACACUGGGACUGAGACACGGCCCAGACUCCUACGGGAGGCAGCAGUGGGGAAUAUUGGACAAUGGGCGAAAGCCUGAUCCAGCAAUGCCGCGUGAGUGAUGAAGGCCUUAGGUGUAAAGCUACUUUUACCGGGAUGAUAAUGACAGUACCGGAGAAUAAGCUCCGGCUAACUCCGUGCCAGCAGCCGAC
rnacentral:rRNA from 1 species